UGACGCUUCACUUUAUCAUAUGAAGCCUUAUGACGCUUCACUUUAUCAUAUCGCGCCCUAUGAUGCUUCACUUUAUCAUAUGAAGCCUCAUGACAGUUUGCUUUAUCAUAUAAAGCCUUAUGACGCUUCACUUUAUCAUAUGAAGCCUUAUGACGCUUCACUUUAUCAUAUGAAGCCUCACGACAGUUUGCUUUAUCAUAUGAAGCCUCAUGACGCUUCACUUUAUCAUAUGAAGCCUCAUGACGCUUCACUUUAUCAUAUGAAGCCUUAUGACGCUUCACUUUAUCAUAUCGCGCCCUAUGAUGCUUCACUUUAUCAUAUGGAGCCUCAAGACGCUUCACUUUAUCAUAUGAAGCCUCAUGACAGUUUGCUUUAUCAUAUGAAGCCUCAUGAUGCUUCACUUUAUCAUAUGAAGCUUUAUGACGCUUCACCUCCUGACACUUUCCAUGACAUCACUUCACCUCCUGACUCAAAGUGA
ensembl:lncRNA